rnacentral:rRNA from 1 species
AUUGAACGCUGGCGGCAGGCCUAACACAUGCAAGUCGAGCGGAUGAAGGGAGCUUGCUCCUGGAUUCAGCGGCGGACGGGUGAGUAAUGCCUAGGAAUCUGCCUGGUAGUGGGGGAUAACGUCCGGAAACGGGCGCUAAUACCGCAUACGUCCUGAGGGAGAAAGUGGGGGAUCUUCGGACCUCACGCUCUCAGAUGAGCCUAGGUCGGAUUAGCUAGUUGGUGGGGUAAAGGCUUACCAAGGCGACGAUCCGUAACUGGUCUGAGAGGAUGAUCAGUCACACUGGAACUGAGACACGGUCCAGACUCCUACGGGAGGCAGCAGUGGGGAAUAUUGGACAAUGGGCGAAAGCCUGAUCCAGCCAUGCCGCGUGUGUGAAGAAGGUCUUCGGAUUGUAAAGCACUUUAAGUUGGGAGGAAGGGCAGUAAGUUAAUACCUUGCUGUUUUGACGUUACCAACAGAAUAAGCACCGGCUAACUUCGUG